AACGAACGCUGGCGGCAUGCCUAACACAUGCAAGUCGAACGAGACCUUCGGGUCUAGUGGCGCACGGGUGCGUAACGCGUGGGAAUCUGCCCUUAGGUUCGGAAUAACUCAGGGGAAACUUGAGCUAAUACCGGAUAAUGACGUAAGUCCAAAGAUUUAUCGCCUAGGGAUGAGCCCGCGUAGGAUUAGCUAGUUGGUGGGGUAAAGCCUACCAAGGCGACGAUCCUUAGCUGGUCUGAGAGGACGAUCAGCCACACUGGGACUGAGACACGGCCCAGACUCCUACGGGAGGCAGCAGUGGGGAAUAUUGGACAAUGGGCGAAAGCCUGAUCCAGCAAUGCCGCGUGAGUGAUGAAGGCCUUAGGGUU
rnacentral:rRNA from 1 species